rnacentral:rRNA from 1 species
ACCCGCUGAACUUAAGCAUAUCAAUAAGCGGAGGAAAAGAAACCAACAGGGAUUGCCUUAGUAACGGCGAGUGAAGCGGCAAAAGCUCAAAUUUGAAAUCUGGCACCUUUGGUGUCCGAGUUGUAAUUUGAAGAAGGUAACUUUGAGUUUGGUCCUUGCAUAUGUUCCUUGGAACAGGACGUCAUAGAGGGUGAGAAUCCCGUUCUGUGAGGUGGCCAUUCUCUUGUAAAGUGCUUUCGAAGAGUCGAGUUGUUUGGGAAUGCAGCUCUAAGUGGGUGGUAAAUUCCAUCUAAAGCUAAAUAUUGGCGAGAGACCGAUAGCGAACAAGUACAGUGAUGGAAAGAUGAAAAGAACUUUGAAAAGAGAGUGAAAAAGUACGUGAAAUUGUUGAAAGGGAAGGGCUUGAAAUCAGACUUGGUAUUCAGUGAUCAACUAUCUUUC